rnacentral:misc_RNA from 1 species
CAGUCGCUCUUUCUUUCCUCCCUUCCACGCGCAUCGGGCCGACGACGUGGUCGUGUGAUCCGUCAUCGGCAGCGACCCACGCGUACGCGCGUGCAAACGAAAAUCGAGUCUGAAGAUGGAGGGAUCCAGGACGAGUGACGGCACGGCGCUGGCGACAGCGCCACCCUUGCUGCUGCCCAGCAGCGCUCCGCAAGGUGUGCAGGUACGGAGGACUGCGGCGCUCAGAGGUCACAAAGAUCGCGUCUGGUGCGUGCGCUGGUGCCCCACGGCCCCUGUGCUCGCCUCGUGCUCCGGUGACACCACUGUCAAGUUUUGGGGUCGCAGUCGGUCCGCGGAGAACGGCUGUGAGGCGUGGACGUGCCUCGGCACCUUGGAAGGGGAGCAUAGUCGCACCAUUCGUCACAUCAGCUGGAGUCCCAGCGGUGAAUACAUUUCGUGUGCCUCGUUCGACCACACAGCUACUGUGUGGCGGCGCAACGGCGGCGACGACGGGUACGGCUUCGAGAUCGAGGGCGUUCUGGACGGGCACGAGAGUGAAGUGAAGUGUGUCGAGUGGGCGACCGACAGCAUGCUCGUCACGAGCGCGCGCGAUCGUACAGCGUGGAUUUGGGAGCGCGUGGAUGAAGGCGAAUACGAAUGCGGCGGUGUCUUGACGGGGCACGCACAGGACGUUAAGCACUGCCAGUUUGUGCUGCCACACAACGAUGGCGACGUUCCGCUAGUCGUGACGUGCGGGUACGAUGAUACAAUCAAGGUGUGGUCCGAGGGGCACCACCACGAUGACUGGCAGUGUGUGCAGACGAUGGCGGCGCACGAGGCCACCGUCUGGGCCACAGCCCUCCAGAAACUCGAGGUGCCGAUGGAGCUGGUCAGGGCGUCUCACGCCAGUCAUGCGCCUCUGCCCCAGCCUUUGCUCUGCAGCUGCUCAGACGAUCUGUCCAUCAUCUUCUGGAAGCGCGACGCCGAGGGCAGGUUCGUGGAAGCCGCCCGCAUCUCUGGCUUUGCAGAGCGCUCUUUGUUCGACGUGGACUGGGCACCGCACAACGCACCAGUGGUGGCCUGCGCCAGCGGUGACAACAGCUUCUCGCUUCUGGGUGUCUACGAGGAUGAAACGGGCGUGCACACCUGCACUCUGGCGCGCGUCGCGGAUGCGCACUUGGCGGAUGUCAACAGCGUCAGCUUCGCUUCUCAAGGGACCCUCACAGCGUGCAACGCGGAGGGCGAAAAGACAGGCAUACUGCUGGCCACUGCUGGCGAUGACAACGUGAUCCACCUGUGGACCGUGUCCGCGGAGACGGAGUGAGUAACCCAACGCUGAAAAGCGAAAGACGU